CUCUUUUUUACUCACAUUUUUCGUACAGCUGCAUGACCUACAAUCAGAGGGCGUUCCCCUGGAUAUGAGUAAAAGAUCUUCGUUCGAAGACUUACAUAACCGCUAGCCACCACUUUUUUUUUAUUUCUUGGAAUAUUUCCUAACAUACAUUCCAUAUAUCCCGUAAUAAUUUCACUUUUACAUACAAGCUUUUGUCAGUCUAAUUAAAUAUAUUACCAAGUACUAAGCUAAAAUAUAAAAUGUAAAUUUGAAAUCCAAAACACACUAAGAUAAAGCGAUCGUUAUGUGUAACAUAGAUUUUACUGCUACGUGUUAGUGAAUAUUUAAGUGUGUUGGCAGUUAGAGAUACCCAUGAGUAUUUCUUUUCUGUAGCAUACUUUUAUUAGCUUACAAAUUAGACAACGACAAACCCCAAAGCAAUUUAAGAGUUAGAAUUUAUAUGUAUUGAUUUAAAAUUUUCGUUAAUGAUAAUUUUCUUCACUUUAAUCGGCAGCUGUAAGCCAUAAAAAAAAAAUUCAAAGCGUAAAUGUUUACAAAUUUUUAUCCACAGGUGUCAAUAAUACUCAGUCUACAAUGAAAUUUUAGAGACAUCAAUGUGGAGACGAAGUGCUUUCAUAGCUGUGAUGGCUUUUGCAUUCCUGUCCUAUAUUUAUAGCGUAUAUCGAUUGAUUUAUUUUCAAUAAACAGAAAACUAUUUUACAAGGUUACCAAACAAGAACUAAUGAAUGAAAAAUGCUAUGAGGAAUACUUCUAAUAAAUGAAAAUACAUUGCAAUGUACAGACUUAAACAGCUCAAAUAUCCGAAACCCAGUUUGGCUUUUGAUAAAAACCGUUAGCCGAAACUAGUUUGGCCAGUAUAUUUUCAUGAAUUGUGCCCUGGAAGUUUCGCAGAGAAAAAUAAAAAUUCCGAAAAAUCUU